UACGUAGGUGGCAAGCGUUAUCCGGAUUUACUGGGUGUAAAGGGCGUGUAGGCGAGGACGCAAGUCAGAUGUGAAAACCACGGGCUCAACCUGUGGCCUGCAUUUGAAACUGUGUUUCUUGAGUACUGGAGAGGCAGACGGAAUUCCUAGUGUAGCGGUGAAAUGCGUAGAUAUUAGGAGGAACACCAGUGGCGAAGGCGGUCUGCUGGACAGCAACUGACGCUGAGGCGCGAAAGCGUGGGGAGCAAACAGG
rnacentral:rRNA from 1 species